GUUUACGGUAGCUGAAGAGAGCCGUCUAUUGACAGUUCAAUAUGGAUGCUGUCAUGGAGUCGCUCUCUUCAGACACCUUUCA
rfam:Angiostrongylus cantonensis strain Taiwan genome assembly, scaffold: ACAC_scaffold0000199